UGAGCAAUCUGCCCUUCACAUCGGAAUAACCAUUGGAAACGAUGGCUAAUACCGAAUAUGACUUCGGAUCGCAUGAUCUGAAGUGGAAAGCUCCGGCGGUGAAGGAUGAGCUCGCGGCCUAUCAGCUAGUUGGUGUGGGUAAUGGCCCACCAAGGCGACGACGGGUAGCCGGCCUGAGAGGGUGACCCGGCCACACUGGGACUGAGACACGGCCCAGACUCUACGGGAGG
rnacentral:rRNA from 1 species